AUUGUAAUCCAAUUCGAGGUAAAAUGUUUCCUUAAUUUCUUGUUGGGUACUUGGAUCCUUCCCGCGUUGUUCAUGUAUUUUUAUUUUGUAUACUGGCCCGCCCUCUUCAAGCUGAGACCGUUCAGUUUGAUUCGUUGUGAAAA
rnacentral:SRP_RNA from 14 species